GACGAACGCUGGCGGCGUGCUUAACACAUGCAAGUCGAACGGAGAGACAUGGAAGCUUGCUUCUAUGAAUCUUAGUGGCGAACGGGUGAGUAACGCGUAAUCAACCUGCCCUUUAGAGGGGGAUAACAACGGGAAACCGUUGCUAAUACCGCGUACGAUAUGCUUUCGGUCAUCGAGAGCAUAUGAAAGGUAGGCCUCUAUAUAAGCUAUCGCUGAAGGAGGGGAGUUGCGUCUGAUUAGCUAGUUGGAGGGGUAACGGGCCCACCAAGGCAAUGAUCAGUAGCCGGUCUGAGAGGAUGAACGGCCACAUUGGGACUGAGACACGGCCCAA
rnacentral:rRNA from 1 species